rnacentral:rRNA from 1 species
GACGAACGCUGGCGGCGUGCCUAAUACAUGCAAGUAGAACGCUGAAGGAGGAGCUUGCUUCUCUGGAUGAGUUGCGAACGGGUGAGUAACGCGUAGGUAACCUGCCUGGUAGCGGGGGAUAACUAUUGGAAACGAUAGCUAAUACCGCAUAAUAGUAGAUGUUGCAUGACAUUUGCUUAAAAGGUGCAAUUGCAUCACUACCAGAUGGACCUGCGUUGUAUUAGCUAGUUGGUGGGGUAACGGCUCACCAAGGCGACGAUACAUAGCCGACCUGAGAGGGUGAUCGGCCACACUGGGACUGAGACACGGCCCAGACUCCUACGGGAGGCAGCAGUAGGGAAUCUUCGGCAAUGGACGGAAGUCUGACCGAGCAACGCCGCGUGAGUGAAGAAGGGUUUCGGAUCGUAAAGCUCGGUUGUAAGAGAAGAACGAGUGUGAGAGUGGAAAGUUCACACUGUGACGGUAUCUUAACAGAAAGGGACGGCUAACUACGUG